AAAUAAUCAAGAGAACGCCUCCCAAACCAAAACCAUCCCGGUCCCCGCGCGUUCGAUCUUAGCUGCAGAGAGGGCAGGGCACGAGUCCGUUCUCGUUGCACGCGGAGCACGGCACGCGGCCGGCGCCGGCGCUGGCGUCAUGGAGCCAAUGACUGCCGCCGCACGCGCCGCACACCACGAACCACGCGCCGCCGCAGACCGCGCACGGGACCUCCGCCGCGCCGCGCCGCGCGGCGCGCCAGAGCACGGGCCGGAGCUGGGACCGCUCGUGCAGCGCCACGACCUCGUCGGCGCCGCCGAGGUACCUACCGUCCACGAACAGCCGCGGCGGCACGGGGAACGCGCCGCCGCCGCCCUCCCCCCGCCCGCAGCGAAGCAGCGCCCGGAGCUCCUC
rnacentral:misc_RNA from 1 species